GGAUCCCGAGUUGCUGUGGUGUAGGCUGGCAGCUACAGCUCCGAUUAGACCCCCCAGCCUGGGACCUCCAUAUGCCAUGGGAGUGGCCCUAGAAAAGACAAAAAAAUUUUAAAAAUUACAAAAAUUAAAAUUGUAUGAUUCCAUUGAAUGAAAUAUUUACACAGUUCACAUGAACAUUCUGUUCCAAUACUAAAUCUUUCAACCGUUUGAAUAGAACUCUGGCAAGUAUAUUCAUGCAUCUAACACUUUCACAUUUCAGAUUAUUUUUAUAGAUUAUCAUCCCAGAAGAGGUAUUAAUGUGUCAAAGGAGGUAACCACUUUAUGACACCUAACACAUAUUAUCAAAUUUCACAUCAUGGCUUUCCCUAAAAAAAAAGUUUCCACUUUUGAGGAAGAAAUGAGAAAAAAGAAUGUAUACAUGUAUAUGUAACUGGGUCGCCAUGCUGUACAGUAGAAAAAAAAAUUGUAUUGGGGAAAUAAGAAUAAAAAAGUUUUAAAAAAAUACACUCUUUGCCCUGAAAAUCAUGUAGUCCAUUUGGGGAAAUAAGACAUAUGCCUGUGAAGAGAGAACUAAUUAUCAACUACACAGAUUCAGAGAAGAAAGACCAAGAUCAAAUUUCGGCAGCAGUGGCUCAAGAGUUAGAUCUUUAAUUGAGUCUGAGGACAGUCCUCGGGUUGGGUGAGUUGAACUGGGAGGAUAUCCAGCUGGUAAAUAGUGUGACAAGGAAGGAAAUUAAGCAAUCUAAGGAAUUCCCUGUGACUCAAAAGCACCAUGUGAAUAAAUUUAAUUUAUUAGCCAGAUACACAUGGAUUACAAUCUCCCCAAAGGUAGUUCUGUUACCAGUAAUAGGGUUACUCAUCCUUAUCCUUGAAACUUUUUCUUCUCUUAUUACAUCUGAUGUGAUGAUAUAGAGGUUUCCCUUCUCUGCCUCUAACCAGUCCUCUUCUCUCUUUUAAGUUCCUCUAACAAUCCUUUUAAAUAAGGCAUUUCUCAAAGUCCUCCUCUAGUCCUUUUCUUCCUGUAGGUAAUGUCACUUGAUCUGCUGUCUCCAGCCAUUACUUCUUGUUGCUAACUCCUCAAUCUCUAUUUCAGGCUCUCAAUUCUCCUUUUUAGUCUGAUACAUUUCCACCUUCCACUGACAGCAUUUGAAAUCCAACAAGUCCAAAACUGAACUCUUUCUGUGUGCUCCCAAUCAUGUGAAAGAAGCUACACAGUUCAGAAGCAACAUCAUCUUUGAUAUUUGUUUCAUCCUCACAGUUCACAUUCAAUCAAGUUUCCAAAUUUGGCCCCAGCCUCACAGUGGAUCCCAAUUUCUUCUUACUGUAGGCCAUAAAAAUCUCUCACCUAGAAUACUGUGAGGAUUCCUUUCUGAUCUGAUUGCCUCCAGCCUCAUCCCCUUCGAUCUGUGCUCUACCCCAUUACCAGGUACCUUCCUAAAGCACAUAACCGAUUGUGUCACUUGUCUAUGUAAGGACUUCCAAUAGGUGCAGUCACCUGGAAGAGUGAAUUCCAGAUACAUUAACUUAUCUCCUCUGGUCCUUUAUGACUUGGGCCCACUCUACUUCUCUAAUUCCAUCUCCCCACACUACACCUGUCUACACACACCUACCCACCCACACACACACUGCACUUUGGACCAUUUAAAAUUCACUGAAAACAAACAUGGACUUUAACCCAGAUGAACAUUUUCUUCUGCAGUUUCCUUUGAGUUGAACACUCUCACACACUCUGGUCUACUGAAACCUGAUAUGUCCAUUAGGUCCAACCAAAUAUUACCACUUCCGAAAAGCCUUCCUAGACCUUGACAGAGGUCUCCUCAACUAUAACUCCUAUGUCCUAACUUCCUAUAUUCUACAGUACAGAAUAGUUCAUUGUCAUGCUUGUGUGCAUAACUAGAAUGCUCCCUUUCUGAAGGCCAAGUUAAGAAAUCUAAUAAAUUCAAGUGUAUUUAAAUUUUUUUAAUCUCUCUGGCAAAAGGCCGAGCUUCCUCCUGCUACUUGAUAAAUGGCAAUGUGAGGUUUGCCAGCUAAAGGGAAAGACCUUCAAGAAUCCUUAUCCCAAAGGUAUGGAGAGGAGGAGGUGAAGAAAGAAGAAAAGGCUCUAAGAAAUUACCAAAGAUUUUUCUCUCUGAUCUUUAAUGAUAUAUGGCAUAUCUAGAACUCUAGCUUGUUGUGAUAUAGCACUGCAAAUUCAGGUUCUUGUGCUAGGUUCUUUUGUCCCCAAUUCAAGGCCCUUGCUUAGGCUUAAAGUGAAAGCUUUAAGUUCAGAAGGCUGCCAGGUUCUAAUACUCCCCAACCCCUUGCCAUUCCAUGCAAUGUUCACUGGGGUCCUAGCACACUGUGGGAUGCCCUGAUCCCCAAAUAAAUCUGAGAUAGGACAGAGCAGAGAGAGAGGAAGGGAAUUUGCAACCAACACUCCAGCUUUAUUUAUCACUUAGCCUGGGAAAGUACUGAGCUAACAAAAAAAGGAAAAAAAAAAAGCCAAGUUAUUUAAAGAGCAAGAGCUAAAACAUCAGAAACAUAAACUGUUUCUAAAUAAAAAAAAUAAAAUAAAAAGGGUGUGGAGCAUGAGACUUUUUUCAAAAGUAGAUUUCAUAUCUU
rnacentral:lncRNA from 1 species